rnacentral:rRNA from 1 species
GAUGAACGCUGGCGGCGUGCCUAAUACAUGCAAGUCGAGCGAACGGACGAGAAGCUUGCUUCUCUGAUGUUAGCGGCGGACGGGUGAGUAACACGUGGAUAACCUACCUAUAAGACUGGGAUGACUUCGGGAAACCGGAGCUAAUACCGGAUAAUAUUUUGAACCGCAUGGUUCAAAAGUGAAAGACGGUCUUGCUGUCACUUAUAGAUGGAUCCGCGCUGCAUUGGCUAGUUGGUAAGGUAACGGCUUACCAAGGCAACGAUGCAUAGCCGACCUGAGAGGGUGAUCGGCCACACUGGAACUGAGACACGGUCCAGACUCCUACGGGAGGCAGCAGUAGGGAAUCUUCCGCAAUGGGCGAAAGCCUGACGGAGCAACGCCGCGUGAGUGAUGAAGGUCUUCGGAUCGUAAAACUCUGUUAUUAGGGAAGAACAUAUGUGUAAGUAACUGUGCACAUCUUGACGGUACCUAAUCAGAAAGCCACGGCUAACUACGUG